UACGUAGGUGGCGAGCGUUGUCCGGAAUCACUGGGCGUAAAGCGCGCGCAGGCGGCGAUCUACGUCUGGGGUGAAAGCCCGGAGCUCAACUCCGGGACUGCCUUGGAUACGGGAUCGCUUGAGGAUUGGAGAGGCAAGGGGAAUUCCACGUGUAGCGGUGAAAUGCGUAGAGAUGUGGAGGAACACCUGUGGCGAAGGCGCCUUGCUGGCCGAUUUCUGACGCUGAGGCGCGAAAGCGUGGGGAGCAAACAGG
rnacentral:rRNA from 1 species